rnacentral:rRNA from 1 species
AUUGAACGCUGGCGGCAGGCCUAACACAUGCAAGUCGAACGGUAACAGGAAGCAGCUUGCUGCUUUGCUGACGAGUGGCGGACGGGUGAGUAAUGUCUGGGAAACUGCCUGAUGGAGGGGGAUAACUACUGGAAACGGUAGCUAAUACCGCAUAACGUCGCAAGCCCAAAGAGGGGGACCUUAGGGCCUCUUGCCAUCGGAUGUGCCCAGAUGGGAUUAGCUAGUAGGUGGGGUAACGGCUCACCUAGGCGACGAUCCCUAGCUGGUCUGAGAGGAUGACCAGCCACACUGGAACUGAGACACGGUCCAGACUCCUACGGGAGGCAGCAGUGGGGAAUAUUGCACAAUGGGCGCAAGCCUGAUGCAGCCAUGCCGCGUGUAUGAAGAAGGCCUUCGGGUUGUAAAGUACUUUCAGCGGGGAGGAAGGGAGUAAAGUUAAUACCUUUGCUCAUUGACGGUACCCGCAGAAGAAGCACCGGCUAACUCCGUG